UGAGGAAUUUUGGUCAAUGGACGAGAGUCUGAACCAGCCAAGCAGCGUGCAGGAUUACGGCCCUAUGGGUUGUAAACUUUUUUUGUUUGGGAAUAAUCGACAUUACGUGUAAUGUUUUUCAUGUACCAUUCGAAUAAGGACCGGCUAAUUCCGUGCCAGCAGCCGCGGUAAUACGGAAGGUCCAGGCGUUAUCCGGAUUUAUUGGGUUUAAAGGGAGUGUAGGCGGUUGGUUAAGCGUGUUGUGAAAUGUAGAUGCUCAACAUCUGACUUGCAGCGCGAACUGGCUGACUUGAGUACACACAACGUAGGCGGAAUUCAUGGUGUAGCGGUGAAAUGCUUAGAUAUCAUGAAGAACUCCGAUUGCGAAGGCAGCUUACGGGAGUGUUACUGACGCUUAAGCUCGAAGGUGCGGGUAUCGAACAGG
rnacentral:rRNA from 1 species